GACGAGGGGUCCAAGCGUUGUUCGGAAUCAUUGGGCGUAAAGCGGGUGUAGGUGGCUCUAUAAGUCAGGAGUGAAAGCCCCCAAGCUUAACUUGGGAAGUGCUUUUGAUACUGCAGAGCUUGAAUGUGGGAGAGGUUAAUAGAAUUCCAGGUGUAGUGGUGAAAUACGUAGAUAUCUGGAGGAAUACCGGAGGCGAAGGCGACGUCCUGGACCGGCAUUGACGCUGAGGCGCGAAAGCCAGGGGAGCAAAGCGGG
rnacentral:rRNA from 1 species